CAGCAGCCACGGGAAUACGUAGGGUGCGAGCGUUAAUCGGAAUUACUGGGCGUAAAGCGUGCGCAGGCGGUUAUGUAAGACAGUUGUGAAAUCCCCGGGCUCAACCUGGGAACUGCAUCUGUGACUGCAUAGCUAGAGUACGGUAGAGGGUGAUGGAAUUCCGCGUGUAGCAGUGAAAUGCGUAGAUAUGCGGAGGAACAUCGAUGGCGAAGGCAAUCCCCUGGACCUGUACUGACGCUCAUGCACGAAAGCGUGGGAAGCAAACAGGAUUAGAUACCCCAGUAGUCCCUGUCUCUUAUAA
rnacentral:rRNA from 1 species